rnacentral:tRNA from 1 species
CAGGAGAUAGUUUAUUUAAAAUAUUAAUUUUGGAGAUUAAAGUUAAGGAGUUUCUUUUUUCCUGA